CUUUUGGUUUUGAUUUAAGGUUUUGUCUGCCCAAUGAUUUAUUUAAUGGCCGCGGUAUUUUGACCGUGCAAAGGUAGCAUAAUCAUUAGUUUUUUAAUUGAAAGCUGGAAUGAAUGGCUAAAUGAGAAAAUAACUGUCUCUAUUUAAUUUAAUUAGAAUUUUAUUUUUAAGUUAAAAAGCUUAAAUUUUAUUUAAAGACGAGAAGACCCUAUAGAGUUUUAAAAAAUUAUUAAUUAUUUUUUUUUAGAAUUUACUAUUUGAUUACUUUUUUUUUUUGAUUGGGGUGAUUAAAAAAUUUAAUAAACUUUUUUUUUAUUUAUUCACUUAUAAGUGUAAAAUUGAUCCUAAUUUUUAGAUUAAAAGAUAAAAUUACCUUAGGGAUAACAGCGNNAUUUUUUUUAAGAGUUCAAAUCGAAAAAAAAGAUUGCGACCUCGAUGUUGGAUUAAAAUUUAAUUUUGGUGCAGUAGCUAAA
rnacentral:rRNA from 1 species